AGUGUCUUACCAACUAGACCACCGAGAUUGCCCGGUUUGUUUCUGUAGUUUAUUGUUUUAGGAGAUAUUGUCUGGCUUGAUGGAAAUGGGUAAACAUUUUGGGUGUCUGAAGGACCACUUGGUGUCUGUGGGUGUUUGGAAAUGGUUGUAGAAUUCAUUGAGGUGUAUUGGCUGAACCAAAGGAGAUGGUAUUCGCAGGUGCCUGCAGGAAUCAAAGAUAGUGUUUUGAGGAUUGCCUACGUAACAUCCUGGAAGCCGUGGACCAUCUUCUGACAAAGAGGGCAGUAACACUCGGGUGUAUUGAGCCAGGUGAGAUGGAGUCCAGCUUCGUUGAUGAUGGGGGCUCCCAUAGCUCCUCACCCCCAUGCACACCAGAGGAAAUCCUCAUUCCAUUCCAUGCCCUCCAUGGACAUG